rnacentral:rRNA from 1 species
UCCUACGGGAGGCAGCAGUGAGGAAUAUUGGUCAAUGGGAGAGAUCCUGAACCAGCCAAGCCGCGUGAGGGAAGACGGCCCUAUGGGUUGUAAGCCUCUUUUGUCGGAGAACAAAACCCGGGACGUGUCCCGGACUGCGUGUAUCCGAAGAAAAAGCAUCGGCUAACUCCGUGCCAGCAGCCGCGGUAAUACGGAGGAUGCGAGCGUUAUCCGGAUUUAUUGGGUUUAAAGGGUGCGUAGGCGGAAUAUCAAGUCAGCGGUAAAAAUUCGGGGCUCAACCCCGUCGUGCCGUUGAAACUGAUGUU